rnacentral:rRNA from 1 species
GAUGAACGCUGGCGGCGUGCCUAAUACAUGCAAGUCGAGCGAACGGACGAGAAGCUUGCUUCUCUGAUGUUAGCGGCGGACGGGUGAGUAACACGUGGAUAACCUACCUAUAAGACUGGGAUAACUUCGGGAAACCGGAGCUAAUACCGGAUAAUAUUUUGAACCGCAUGGUUCAAAAGUGAAAGACGGUCUUGCUGUCACUUAUAGAUGGAUCCGCGCUGCAUUAGCUAGUUGGUAAGGUAACGGCUUACCAAGGCAACGAUGCAUAGCCGACGUGAGAGGGGGAUCGGCCACACUGGAACUGAGACACGGUCCAGACUCCUACGGGAGGCAGCAGUAGGGAAUCGUCCGCAAUGGGCGAAAGCCUUACGGAGCAACGCCGCGUGAGUGAUGGAGGCCCUCGGAUCGGAAAACUCUGUUACUAGGGAAGAACAUAUGUGGAAGGAACUGUGCAGAUCUUGACGGUACCUAAUCAGAAAGCCACGGCUAACUACGUG